rnacentral:rRNA from 1 species
GAUGAACGCUAGCGGGAGGCCUAACACAUGCAAGCCGAGCGGUAUUGUUUCUUCGGAAAUGAGAGAGCGGCGUACGGGUGCGGAACACGUGUGCAACCUGCCUUUAUCUGGGGGAUAGCCUUUCGAAAGGAAGAUUAAUACUCCAUAACAUAUUGAUUGGCAUCAAUUGAUAUUGAAAGCUCCGGCGGAUAGAGAUGGGCACGCGCAAGAUUAGCUAGUUGGUGAGGUAACGGCUCACCAAGGCGAUGAUCUUGAGGGGGCCUGAGGGGGUGAUCCCCCACACUGGUACUGAGACACGGACCAGACUCCUACGGGAGGCAGCAGUGAGGAAUAUUGGUCAAUGGGUGCAAGCCUGAACCAGCCAUCCCGCGUGAAGGACGACUGCCCUAUGGGUUGUAAACUUCUUUUGUAUAGGGAUAAACCUACCCUCGUGAGGGUAGCUGAAGGUACUAUACGAAUAAGCACCGGCUAACUCCGUGCCAGCCGCCGCCGUAAUAC